rnacentral:tRNA from 1 species
GGAGGGUUGGCCGAGCGGACGAAGGCAGCGGUCUUGAAAACCGCCGUGCGGCGUGAGCCGUACCGUGGGUUCGAAUCCCACACCCUCCG